UACGUAGGGUGCGAGCGUUAAUCGGAAUUACUGGGCGUAAAGGGUGCGCAGGCGGCGUCGCAAGUCAGGCGUGAAAUCCCCGGGCUUAACCUGGGAACUGCACUUGAAACUACGAUGCUGGAGUAUGGCAGAGGGAGGUGGAAUUCCACGUGUAGCGGUGAAAUGCGUAGAGAUGUGGAGGAACACCGAUGGCGAAGGCAGCCUCCUGGGCCAAUACUGACGCUGAGGAGCGAAAGCGUGGGGAGCAAACAGG
rnacentral:rRNA from 1 species